rnacentral:rRNA from 1 species
UACGUAGGGGGCAAGCGUUAUCCGGAUUUACUGGGUGUAAAGGGAGCGUAGACGGUGCGCCAAGUCUGGAGUGAAAUGCCGCAGCUUAACUGCGGAACUGCUUUGGAAACUGGCGAACUAGAGUGCGGGAGGGGUAAGCGGAAUUCCUAGUGUAGCGGUGAAAUGCGUAGAUAUUAGGAGGAACACCGGUGGCGAAGGCGGCUUACUGGACCGUAACUGACGUUGAGGCUCGAAAGCGUGGGGAGCAAACAGG